GACGAACGCUGGCGGCGUGCUUAACACAUGCAAGUCGAACGGAAAGGCCCUGCUUUUGUGGGGUGCUCGAGUGGCGAACGGGUGAGUAACACGUGAGUAACCUGCCCUUGACUUUGGGAUAACUUCAGGAAACUGGGGCUAAUACCGGAUAGGAGCUCCUGCUGCAUGGUGGGGGUUGGAAAGUUUCGGCGGUUGGGGAUGGACUCGCGGCUUAUCAGCUUGUUGGUGGGGUAGUGGCUUACCAAGGCUUUGACGGGUAGCCGGCCUGAGAGGGUGACCGGCCACAUUGGGACUGAGAUACGGCCCAGACUCCUACGGGAGGCAGCAGUGGGGAAUAUUGCACAAUGGGCGGAAGCCUGAUGCAGCAACGCCGCGUGCGGGAUGACGGCCUUCGGGUUGUAAACCGCUUUCGCCUGUGACGAAGCGUGAGUGACGGUAAUGGGUAAAGAAGCACCGGCUAACUACGUGCCAGCAGCCGCGGUGAUACGUAGGGUGCGAGCGUUGUCCGGAUUUAUUGGGCGUAAAGGGCUCGUAGGUGGUUGAUCGCGUCGGAAGUGUAAUCUUGGGGCUUAACCCUGAGCGUGCUUUCGAUACGGGUUGACUUGAGGAAGGUAGGGGAGAAUGGAAUUCCUGGUGGAGCGGUGGAAUGCGCAGAUAUCAGGAGGAACACCAGUGGCGAAGGCGGUUCUCUGGGCCUUUCCUGACGCUGAGGAGCGAAAGCGUGGGGAGCGAACAGGCUUAGAUACCCUGGUAGUCCACGCUGUAAACGGUGGGUACUAGGUGUGGGGUCCAUUCCACGGGUUCCGUGCCGUAGCUAACGCUUUAAGUACCCCGCCUGGGGAGUACGGCCGCAAGGCUAAAACUCAAAGGAAUUGACGGGGCCCCGCACAAGCGGCGGAGCAUGCGGAUUAAUUCGAUGCAACGCGUAGAACCUUACCUGGGUUUGACAUGGAUCGGGAGUGCUCAGAGAUGGGUGUGCCUCUUUUGGGGUCGGUUCACAGGUGGUGCAUGGCUGUCGUAAGCUCGUGUCGUGAGAUGUUGGGUUAAGUCCCGCAACGAGCGCAACCCUUGUUCACUGUUGCCAGCACGUUAUGGUGGGGACUCAGUGGAGACCGCCGGGGUCAACUCGGAGGAAGGUGGGGAUGACGUCAAGUCAUCAUGCCCCUUAUGUCCAGGGCUUCACGCAUGCUACAAUGGCUGGUACAGAGAGUGGCGAGCCUGUGAGGGUGAGCGAAUCUCGGAAAGCCGGUCUCAGUUCGGAUUGGGGUCUGCAACUCGACCUCAUGAAGUCGGAGUCGCUAGUAAUCGCAGAUCAGCAACGCUGCGGUGAAUACGUUCCCGGG
rnacentral:rRNA from 1 species